AUUGAACGCUGGCGGUAUGCUUAAGACAUGCAAGUCGUGCGGUAGGGGCUUCGGCCCUGAGAGCGGCGGACGGGUGAGUAACGCGUGGGAAUCUGCCUGCUAGUGGGGGAUAGCCCGGAGAAAUCCGGAUUAAUACCGCAUACGCCCUAACGGGGAAAGGACCGCAAGGCGCUAGUAGAUGAGCUCGCGUAAGAUUAGCUAGUUGGUGAGGUAAAGGCUCACCAAGGCGACGAUCUUUAGCUGGUCUGAGAGGAUGGCCAGCCACAUCGGGACUGAGACACGGCCCGGACUCCUACGGGAGGCAGCAGUCGGGAAUAUUGGACAAUGGGCGCAAGCCUGAUCCAGCAAUACCGCGUGUGUGAAGAAGGCCUGCGGGUUGUAAAGCACUUUCAGUUGGGAAGAUAAUGACGUUACCAACAGAAGAAGCACCGGCUAACU
rnacentral:rRNA from 1 species